AGAGUUUAGUCAUGGCUCAGAUUGAACGCUGGCGGUAUGCUUAAUACAUGCAAGUCGAGCGAGAAGAUUUGUGCUUGCACAGAUCGGACAGCGGCGCACGGGUGAGUAACGCGUACGCAAUCUACCUUUCACAGAGGGAUAGCCCCGGGAAACUGGGAUUAAUACCUCAUAGUCUCUGGUGUCGCAUGGCACUAAGAGUAAAGCUCAGGCGGUGAAAGAUGAGCGUGCGUAAUAUUAGCUAGUUGGUGAGGUAACGGCUCACCAAGGCGAUGAUAUUUAGGGGGCGUGAGAGCGUGAUCCCCCACAUGGGUACUGAGACACGGACCCAACUCCUACGGGAGGCAGCAGUAAGGAAUAUUGGGCAAUGGAGGCAACUCUGACCCAGCCAUCCCGCGUGCAGGAUGACGGCGCUACGCGUUGUAAACUGCUUUUGUAUAAGAUGAAACCUGGGGAUUUAUCCUCAGCUGACGUUAUUAUAAGAAUAAGCACCGGCUAACUCCGUGCCAGCAGCCGCGGUAAU
rnacentral:rRNA from 1 species